UACGUAGGGGGCGAGCGUUGUCCGGAAUCAUUGGGCGUAAAGCGCGUGUAGGCGGCCCGGUAAGUCCGCUGUGAAAGUCCAGGGCUCAACCCUGGGAUGCCGGUGGAUACUGUCGGGCUCGAGUCCGGAAGAGGCGAGUGGAAUUCCUGGUGUAGCGGUGAAAUGCGCAGAUAUCAGGAGGAACACCAAUGGCGAAGGCAGCCUCUGGGACGUGACUGACGCUGAGACGCGAAAGCGUGGGGAGCGAACAGG
rnacentral:rRNA from 1 species